rnacentral:rRNA from 1 species
UACGUAGGUGGCAAGCGUUGUUCGGAAUUAUUGGGCGUAAAGGGCGCGUAGGCGGUUGGUUAAGUCAGCUGUGAAAGCCCGGGGCUCAACCCCGGAGGGUCGGCUGAUACUGAUUGACUAGAGUACGGAAGAGGUAGCUGGAAUUCCCGGUGUAGCGGUGAAAUGCGUAGAUAUCGGGAGGAACGCCGGUGGCGAAAGCGAUCGUCUGGGGUGCAUGUGACGCUGAGGCGCGAAAGCUAGGGGAGCAAACGGG